UACGUAGGGUGCAAGCGUUGUCCGGAAUUAUUGGGCGUAAAGAGCUCGUAGGCGGUUUGUCGCGUCUGCUGUGAAAACUCGGGGCUUAACUCCGGGCCUGCAGUGGGUACGGGCAGACUAGAGUGCGGUAGGGGAGACUGGAAUUCCUGGUGUAGCGGUGAAAUGCGUAGAGAUCCGGAGGAACACCAAAGGCGAAGGCAGUGUCCUGGGGAGUACCUGACGCUCAGGUGCGAAAGCCAGGGGAGCGAACGGG
rnacentral:rRNA from 1 species